GAUGAACGCUGACAGAAUGCUUAACACAUGCAAGUCGAUUCGAUUUACCUUCGGGUAUUGAGGAUGGCGGACGGGUGAGUAACGCGUAAGGAACUUGCCUCUUGGUCUGGGACAACUGUUGGAAACGACAGCUAAUACCGGAUAUUAUGAGAUUCUCGCAUGGGAAACUUAUGAAAGCUAUAUGCGCCAAGAGAGAGCCUUGCGUUCCAUUAGCUAGUUGGUGGGGUAACGGCCCACCAAGGCGACGAUGGAUAGCCGGCCUGAGAGGGUGAACGGCCACAAGGGGACUGAGACACGGCCCUUACUCCUACGGGAGGCAGCAGUGGGGAAUAUUGGACAAUGGGCCACAAGCCUGAUCCAGCAAUUCUGUGUGCACGAUGAAGGUCUUCGGAUUGUAAAGUGCUUUCAGUUGGGAAGAAGAAAGUGACGGUACCAACAGAAGAAGCGACGGCUAAAUACGUGCCAGCAGCCGCGGUAAUACGUAUGUCGCAAGCGUUAUCCGGAUUUAUUGGGCGUAAAGCGCGUCUAGGCGGAAAAAUAAGUCUGAUGUUAAAAUGCGGGGCUCAACUCCGUAUUGCGUUGGAAACUGUUUUUCUAGAGUACUGGAGAGGUGGGCGGAACUACAAGUGUAGAGGUGAAAUUCGUAGAUAUUUGUAGGAAUGCCGAUGGAGAAGUCAGCUCACUGGACAGAUACUGACGCUAAAGCGCGAAAGCGUGGGGAGCAAACAGGAUUAGAUACCCUGGUAGUCCACGCCGUAAACNAUGAUCACUA
rnacentral:rRNA from 1 species